rnacentral:rRNA from 1 species
GAUGAACGCUGGCGGCGUGCCUAAUACAUGCAAGUCGAGCGAACGGACGAGAAGCUUGCUUCUCUGAUGUUAGCGGCGGACGGGUGAGUAACACGUGGAUAACCUACCUAUAAGACUGGGAUAACUUCGGGAAACCGGAGCUAAUACCGGAUAAUAUUUUGAACCGCAUGGUUCAAAAGUGAAAGACGGUCUUGCUGUCACUUAUAGAUGGAUCCGCGCUGCAUUAGCUAGUUGGUAAGGUAACGGCUUACCAAGGCAACGAUGCAUAGCCGACCUGAGAGGGUGAUCGGCCACACGGGAACUGAGACACGGUCCAGACUCCUACGGGAGGCAGCAGUAGGGAAUCUUCCGCAAUGGGCGAAAGCCUGACGGAGCAACGCCGCGUGAGUGAUGAAGGUCUUCGGAUCGUAAAACUCUGUUAUUAGUGAAGAACAUAUGUGUAAGUAACUGUGCACAUCUUGACGGUACCUAAUCAGAAAGCCACGGCUAACUACGUG